rnacentral:rRNA from 1 species
UGAGCAAUCUGCCCUUCUCAUCGGAAUAAGCGUUGGAAACGACGUCUAAUGCCGAAUACGACCUCCUUUCGCAUGAUCGGAGGUGGAAAGCUCCGGCGGAGAAGGAUGAGCUCGCGGCCUAUCAGCUAGUUGGUGUGGGUAAUGGCCCACCAAGGCGACGACGGGUAGCCGGCCUGAGGAGGGUGACCGGCCACACGUGGGACUGAGACACGGCCCAGACCUCCCGUAACGGGGAGCCAGG